rnacentral:rRNA from 1 species
AUACGUAGGUCACGAGCGUUAAUCGGAUUUAUUGGGCGUAAAGGGUCCGCAGGGGGUUUUGUAAGUUUGACGUGAAAGCCAGAGGCUCAACCUCUGAACUGCGUUGAAAACUGCAGAACUAGAAUAUUGGAGAGGAAAGUGGAAUUCUUGGUGUAGCGGUGGAAUGCUUAGAUAUCAAGAGGAACAUCAAUAGCGAAGGCAGCUUUCUGGACAAUUAUUGACCCUCAUGGACGAAGGCGUGGGUAGCAAACAGGAUUAGAUACCCCAGUAGUCC